GGUAUUGAAAUAAGAUUUUAAAUGAGUGCUAAGAGAAUGAUUAAACAAUUAAAAACUUUCUUUAAUUAAAUAAUUAAAUUUAAUUUUUUUGGUGCGAAAGCAAAAAUAAAAUUUAGGGACAAGAAGACCCUAUGAAUUUUUAUUAUUAAUAUUUUGUAAUUAAAUUAUUAAUAAUUUAAUUGGGGUGAUAAAAAAAGAAUAAGUAUCUUUUUAAUUGUAAAAUAAGUUCCGUUUUUAGCGAUUAAAUGAAAAAAAUACUCUAGGGAUAACAGCGUAAUAAUUUUGGAUAGUUCAUAUAGAUAAAAUAGUUUGCGACCUCGAUGUUGGAUUAGGAUUCUUUUUUGGUGAAGAA
rnacentral:rRNA from 1 species